rnacentral:rRNA from 1 species
UACGUAGGGGCAAGCGUUGUCCGGAAUUACUGGGCGUAAAGGGUGCGUAGGUGGUUUCUUAAGUCAGAGGUGAAAGGCUACGGCUCAACCGUAGUAAGCCUUUGAAACUGGGAAACUUGAGUGCAGGAGAGGAGAGUGGAAUUCCUAGUGUAGCGGUGAAAUGCGUAGAUAUUAGGAGGAACACCAGUUGCGAAGGCGGCUCUCUGGACUGUAACUGACACUGAGGCACGAAAGCGUGGGGAGCAAACAGGAUUAGAUACCCCGGUAGUCCCUGAGCGGGCU